rnacentral:pre_miRNA from 1 species
AGGGGUAGGCCGGAUACUAGGCUGAGUCCCCAGCGCCCUGUGCUCCUUGGCCUGCGCUGUUGGAUUCGUGCUCUGGCUGCGAGGCCGCCU